AGAGGAAGAGGAGGCUGCAGUUACCCCUGGACCAUAUGCUUUCACUACUGCUCCGAGCAGCCAUGUUGGAUUUUGAUGACCACUGACAUCUCGGUCACCAAGCAACUGGGUCUUGUUUUGAGGACUAACCCCAAGUGAAGGAGUUCAAG